AGAAGACCUAGAAUUCAUUCCUCAGCCUUUGGUUUUCGCGACAGAUGAUUUGUUUAUCUGCAACUUGUUGAUAAAGAUGACUCACAUUUAUAAGUCCUAUCUGGUGUGGAUCAUUUCCUAGUGAUGACACUACUCUGAAUAAUGCAAGAUCCUGCUUGAUCUGCAGAACAUUUCCAGCACUUCCUGGUUUUAUUGCAUCUGUACAGUGUCAGGAUAUCCCAACCCAUGACAUAAAAUAUAUUUGAUGAAUUAUUUUAUCUCUCAAUGUUAGUGCCUGCAGUUUCCAGACAAGUGCAUGGAAUAACUUCUUCUUUAAAAGGAAAUCUUUCGAUACCAUCUAUCACAAAGAAUAGCCACUUCGGAGAGAAAUCAGAGGGCUGUUACUCGUCAACGACCCAUACCCUGACAAGAAUUGAUCAAGGAGAAAAGUGGAGGAGAAGAAUCAAAUUCACAAAUAUUUGUAUUUUUGUGCUGUUUUUCCAUUUUUCCAAACUUGUUUGAUUCAUCAUUAAGGGAACUUUUCAGUUCUAUGACUUAAAAUGUGUAACAUAAUCCUAACAAAAUGAAUGAAUGCAAACCAUCACUUGUACUGAAUGGACAAUUGCCAUUGGAUUUACAGGUCAGAAACUAACUUGCAAGGUAUGAAUGGUUGCCCUGAUGUCCAUUUAGCA